rnacentral:tRNA from 1 species
GCCGAUUUAGCUCAGCAGGUAGAGCACCCGCCUUGUAAGCGGAAGGUCGUCAGUUCGAUCCUGACAAUCGGCUCCA